rnacentral:lncRNA from 1 species
CGCGGUGCCGAGCGGGCUUGGCGGGGCUGCAUAGUUCCUCAAAGAGCUAUACUGUCAGCGAGUGUGUGCGGACACAUAGAUGUAGGAGUGACAGAGGUAAGAAAGAAACGUCAGGUGACAAAUGCAUUGCUUUGUUACCAUAUUUGUAGUGAUGGGAGGUUGUUGAUACUAACUGGAAAGAAUUUCUAUGUUAAAACAGAGUGCUUGGAUGAAACAUCAGAACCUACAAAGCUGUUU